CCUACGGGAGGCAGCAGUGAGGAAUAUUGGACAAUGGGCGCAAGCCUGAUCCAGCCAUGCCGCGUGCAGGAAGAAGCAUCUAUGGUGUGUAAACUGCUUUUGUACAGGAAGAAACACUCCCUCGUGAGGGAGCUUGACGGUACUGUAAGAAUAAGGACCGGCUAACUCCGUGCCAGCAGCCGCGGUAAUACGGAGGGUCCGAGCGUUAUCCGGAAUCAUUGGGUUUAAAGGGUCCGUAGGCGGUUUAAUAAGUCAGUGGUGAAAUCUGGUCGCUCAACGAUCAAACGGCCAUUGAUACUGUUAGACUUGAAUUAUAAGGAAGUAACUAGAAUAUGUAGUGUAGCGGUGAAAUGCUUAGAUAUUACAUGGAAUACCAAUUGCGAAGGCAGGUUACUACUUAUGGAUUGACGCUGAUGGACGAAAGCGUGGGGAGCGAACAGGAUUAGAUACCCUGGUAGUCCACGCCGUAAACGAUGGAUACUAGCUGUUCGGAGCAAUCUGNGUGNGUAGACGAAGUAGAUAAGUAAUACCACCGUACGGGAGGUACGGUUACGUACGAAGAAGUAGAAACGUACGAAAGUAAGUAAGUACGGUACGUACGUAGAGACGACGACGACGGACGACGACGGGAGGGAGGAGG
rnacentral:rRNA from 1 species